CUGGCUCCCUGUGGAGUAUCUUUACUCUGUGCUAUCUGUAACAUUUUUUUGGUGGUUUUUUUUUUUUUUUUUCAGUGAAGGCAACGUGGUUAUUCUUGAGAAAUACCUCAUUGCCCUGGCCUUGUGCCUAAAUGCCUUUGAGGAACCGGGCCUUCUGCACGUGCAGAGGGAGCUUCUGUAAUAAGGAGUCACCAGGAGCCCUCGCCAGUCUGCGGUGUUCUGUUCUGAUUUAGAGGCACCUAAAGAGGUAAUGAGGGUAAUGCAAGAGAGCCAACGUGGUUAAACUUACUAAGGAAAGAAAAACCCCAAAAAGCCAAAUAAACAUGCAUGGAACAUCAUUUCCCAUAUUCAAAACAGAUUCCUCUAUCACUGUGAAUUCCAUCAUGCACAGCAGACAGCUGUGGCAAGGAUUUUCUGCACCAAGGUCACAUCGCUUCCUCACAAGUGCACUGACUGGCUCCCCAGCUGCAAACCAUCUGUGCUGCCCGCUCCCAAACCUGGAGGUGAUAAAAAUGGA
rnacentral:lncRNA from 1 species